UUCUUCUUCUUCUUUCUCUUACAUUUCGACACUGUUGCUGCUGUGCUAGGGUUUGAAGAUGUGCUAAAGCUUCGUUUGAUUAAGUUGAAAGAUAAUUGCUUCCAUGAAUUACCUACUGAUCUGCUCGCCAUCAUUGCCGCUAGUUCGGCGAUUUCAAGCCCCCCCUUCAGUUUGUACAAUUUAUAAAACCGAAUUAAUCGUACAAUAA
rnacentral:lncRNA from 1 species